UAUCUCUGUAGAGUCUGCAUAUCAAUAAGCGGAGGAAAAGAAACUAACAAGGAUUCCCCUAGUAACGGCGAGUGAAGCGGGAAGAGCUCAAAUUUGAAAUCUUCAAGGUUUGACCUUGACGAAUUGUAGUUUAAAGAAGUGUUUUCGGUUAGAGGAGUAGUAAAAGUUCUUUGGAAUAGGACAUCAUAGAGGGUGAGAAUCCCGUAUUUGACUAUUCUUUCUAGCUUUGUGAUACACUUUCAAAGAGUCGGAUUGUUUGGGAAUGCAGUCCAAGAUGGGUGGUAAAUUUCAUCUAAAGCUAAAUAUUGGCGAGAGACCGAUAGCGAACAAGUACCGUGAGGGAAAGAUGAAAAGGAACUUUGAAAAGAGAGUUAAACAGUACGUGAAAUUGUCAAAAGGGAAGCGUUUGACACCAGUGUUGUUUUUCCGAAAAUCAAUUAAAAAUUGAUUCAUGCCAGGUUGUAUUGACCUUAUCAGCUUGCAAUUUGGUUUUGGGUCUCUUUUUGAUGCACUUUUCGGUUAACAAGUCAACAUCAAUUUCCUUUGCUGUAAAAAGGUAAGAGGAAGGUGGCUUCAAUUUCGGUUGAAGUGUUUAUAGCCUUUUAUCUCUGCAGUCGGGGAGAUUGAGGUCUGCAGCGUAGAUCCUUCGGGGCUAGAUACAUUUAUGCUAAGUUAUAGCUUUUCAUAGACAACUUGUUGACUAUGUUUAGUCAUGUAGCUUACUCGUAAGUGCUAUUUUACCUACGCUUAGGAUGUUGAAGACUCUACAGAGAUA
rnacentral:rRNA from 1 species